ACCUGCGGAGGGAUCAUUACUGAGUGAGGGCCUUCGGGCUCGACCUCCAACCCUUUGUGAACACAACUUGUUGCUUCGGGGGCGACCCUGCCGUUUCGACGGCGAGCGCCCCCGGAGGCCUUCAAACACUGCAUCUUUGCGUCGGAGUUUAAGUAAAUUAAACAAAACUUUCAACAACGGAUCUCUUGGUUCUGGCAUCGAUGAAGAACGCAGCGAAAUGCGAUAAGUAAUGUGAAUUGCAGAAUUCAGUGAAUCAUCGAAUCUUUGAACGCACAUUGCGCCCCUUGGUAUUCCGAGGGGCAUGCCUGUUCGAGCGUCAUUUCACCACUCAAGCCUGGCUUGGUAUUGGGCGCCGCGGUCAAUCCGCGCGCCUCAAAGUCUCCGGCUGAGCUGUCCGUCUCUAAGCGUUGUGAUUUCAUUAAUCGCUUCGGAGUGCGGGCGGCCGCGGCCGUUAAAUCUUUCAAAGGUUGACCUCGGAUCAGGUAGGGAUACCCGCUGAACUUAAGCAUAUCAAUAAGGCCGGAGGAAA
rnacentral:rRNA from 1 species